GAUGAACGCUGGCGGCGUGCCUAAUACAUGCCAGUCGAGCGAACAGACGAGGAGCUUGCUCCUCUGACGUUAGCGGCGGACGGGUGAGUAACACGUGGAUAACCUACCUAUAAGACUGGGAUAACUUCGGGAAACCGGAGCUAAUACCGGAUAAUAUAUUUAACCGCAUGGUUCAAUAGUGAAAGACGGUUUUGCUGUCACUUAUAGAUGUAUCCGCGCCGCAUUAGCUAGUUGGUAAGGUAACGGCUUACCAAGGCAACGAUGCGUAGCCGACCUGAGAGGGUGAUCGGCCACACUGGAACUGAGACACGGUCCAGACUCCUACGGGAGGCAGCAGUAGGGAAUCUUCCGCAAUGGGCGAAAGCUUGACGGAGCAACGCCGCGUGAGUGAUGAAGGUCUUCGGAUCGUAAAACUCUGUUAUUAGGGAAGAACAAAUGUGUAAGUAACUAUGCACGUCUUGACGGUACCUAAUCAGAAAGCCACGGCUAACUACGUG
rnacentral:rRNA from 1 species